AGCCCUGUGGUGAAGAUACAUGUUGGAUUGCAAAUCCAGAGACGUAGAUUAAUAGUCUGCCGGGGCUU
rnacentral:tRNA from 1 species